AAAGGGUUAAAAUUUUUAUUUCAACAUUGAACUUGAUUGUUUUGUUUUUCUUCAAAGUUGUACAUAAAUAUUUAAAUAAUUGAAAUAUUAAAUAGUUUUGGCAAGCAGACUUCUCUUUUUAUACAUACAAUCUCAUGUCUCUUUUAUUCUAUCUCUCUUUCUUGUGUUUUUUUUUUCUCACUCAGUCUUUCAAUCACUACCACUUCUCCAACACUUACACAUAUUAAUAGAGAUGAGACCACAACAAGUCAACAUUAACUCUCUUCACACUUUGCACACGCGCACACACACACACACACACAUAUAUAUAUAUAUAUAUUUAGGCCUAAAUAAAACAAAAUGCUCUAAUAAAUUAUUCAGAUAGCCCAUAACAAUAAUUAAUUAAACGAAAAAGAUGGUCUCUGAAUUCUUUCGCCUUAGAGUUAGGCCAUGGAGAUGUUCUCAUUUCUUUGUUUCCGAAGAUAAAGUCUUGCUUUCUCUAUAUGUACGCAUGCUAGAGACUUUGUCUGUACGGGGCUUUGUGGCAUCUAUUGAGCCCCUUUCGCGAUCUGUGCGGGUAUUUGUAGCAUCAGGUGAACCACUUUCUUUAUUUGGACGAAAUUUGGUUGCGUCGAGUGAUCCUCUUUCUCUGACUGUGCUAAAUUUGGAGACAUCAAUGGAGCCUCUUUGACCAUCUUUUUGUAUAUUGGUACUAUCCACGGAUCCUCUUU